AGUGAACGCUGGCGGUAGGCCUAACACAUGCAAGUCGAACGGCAGCACAGUAAGAGCUUGCUCUUACGGGUGGCGAGUGGCGGACGGGGGAGGAAUACAUCGGAAUCUACUUUUUCGUGGGGGAUAACGUAGGGAAACUUACGCUAAUACCGCAUACGACCUACGGGUGAAAGCAGGGGAUCUUCGGACCUUGCGCGAUUGAAUGAGCCGAGGUCGGAUUAGCUAGUUGGCGGGGUAAAGGCCCACCAAGGCGACGAUCCGUAGCUGGUCUGAGAGGAUGAUCAGUCACACUGGAACUGAGACACGGUCCAGACUCCUACGGGAGGCAGCAGUGGGGAAUAUUGGACAAUGGGCGCAAGCCUGAUCCAGCCAUACCGCGUGGGUGAAGAAGGCCUUCGGGUUGUAAAGCCCUUUUGUUGGGAAAGAAAAGCAGCAGGUUAAUACCCCGCUGUUCUGACGGUACCCAAAGAAUAAGCACCGGCUAACUUCGUG
rnacentral:rRNA from 1 species